rnacentral:rRNA from 1 species
UACGUAGGGUCCGAGCGUUGUCCGGAAUUAUUGGGCGUAAAGGGCUCGUAGGCGGUUUGUCGCGUCGGGAGUGAAAACACCGGGCUUAACUCGGUGCUUGCUUUCGAUACGGGCAGACUUGAGGUAUGCAGGGGAGAACGGAAUUCCUGGUGUAGCGGUGAAAUGCGCAGAUAUCAGGAGGAACACCGGUGGCGAAGGCGGUUCUCUGGGCAUUACCUGACGCUGAGGAGCGAAAGUGUGGGGAGCGAACAGG